rnacentral:rRNA from 1 species
UACGUAGGGUGCGAGCGUUAAUCGGAAUUACUGGGCGUAAAGCGUGCGCAGGCGGUUCGUUAAGUCAGAUGUGAAAGCCCCGGGCUCAACCUGGGAACUGCAUUUGAAACUGGCGGGCUUGAGUGUGGCAGAGGGGGGUGGAAUUCCGCGUGUAGCGGUGAAAUGCGUAGAUAUCAGGAGGAACACCGAUGGCGAAGGCAGGUCUCUGGGCUGACACUGACGCUCAUGCACGAAAGCGUGGGGAGCAAACAGG